GUGCCAGCAGCCGCGGUAAUACCGGCAGCCCGAGUGAUGGCCGAUCUUAUUGGGCCUAAAGCGUCCGUAGCUGGCCGCACAAGUCCAUCGGAAAAUCCACCCGCCCAACGGGUGGGCGUCCGGUGGAAACUGUGUGGCUUGGGACCGGAAGGCGCGACGGGUACGUCCGGGGUAGGAGUGAAAUCCUGUAAUCCUGGACGGACCGCCGAUGGCGAAAGCACGUCGCGAGGACUGCCGGUAUUACCGC
rnacentral:rRNA from 1 species